GGCUCUUGUUUUCCCUGGCCCUUCAGAUUGCCUUUGGGAAACCACCCAACCCUCACUCCCCUCCACCCACGUGCAUUGCAUGGGGCUAAUUCUACCCCAGGCCCUGACUCCAAGUAUGAUCACCUGAUCCAGACCUGGCCAAUCAGCCUGUUCUGUCCCCCAGGCCACAGUGAUUUGUUUAGGGAUGAUCAUGUGACCUACAGAAAGCUUCAGGAUAGUGGCUUCCUUGGGUAGGGGAGGCUGAUGGUCAGACAGGGAAGAAGCCCACAGACAGAUGCAAGUGCUGGUUAAUGUUCUGAUUCUUGUGUUGGAUGACCAGGUCUUGGGUGUUUAUUUAUAUAAAUAAACAGAGGAGAACCGUUUAUGAACCUAUGGCAAGAGGAUGGCGUGAAUAAGGGAUCAUGAUUAAUAGAAUUCAGAGACAAAGGGAGAGAAAACAAACAAAAAACACCUCUGGAACUUGUUGGAGCUCUUGGAAAAGAAAAGCUGUGAGUGGAUGUUCAAGAGGGUAACCUAGGGCCUCAUGCAUUGGGGCAUUCAGAAGUUUCGUACUGGAUCAAAAACAACGAAUGAAGCCUGCAGUGCAGAGAAAACAUUGUGAUAUGAGGGUCUUGCUGUGAUGACUGGAGCUGUGGCAGCCACCUUGUGACCAUGAGGGAAAAGCCAAGAGACUAGUUGAGAAGCCAACUGAGAGUUUUACCGCCAACUGAGAGUUUUACCUCCAUUGAGCUGCUGGAUUUGCCAACUCUAGAACCACUCAUUCUGGGUAUCUCAUUAGGCAAGAUAAUAAAUUUCUCAUUAUUCAAGCUGUUUUCAUUGGUCUUUCUGUUACUCACAGACAAAGCAUGACAAUUGAAGUACUCAGUGAGGAAUGUGGUGAAGUUGCCUGAAGUCACACCCUUGCCAGGAAUAGUGGAAGGCUAUAUGGGCUUUGUGAGCCCACUCCCUCACCAGGGGGCUUUGCCCUUUCCAUCCAGGAGGUUCAAAUCCAGCCUCAAACCUUUCUAGACAAAAUAUCUGUCAAAAGAGUAUGAUAAAACAGAGCAUCUCUGUUUAUUCCUCAAUAAGAGAUAGAGAGAGAGAUGAGGACACUCUACCUAAGGUGUGUGCUGGAGGAAAUGUAACUUCUGUCCUCUAAACAGAAAUAAGCACGAGUCUCUCCCGUAUCCCUGGCAGCCUCCACCUGGGAGCUUUUAUUCCUGCCCAUGUUUGCACUUCAUGGAACCAGGAGUUCC
rnacentral:lncRNA from 10 species